UGUGAACAGGGUGUAGCUCAGUGGUAGAGUGCUUGCCUAGCGUGCACAAGGCCCUGAGUUCAAUUCUCAGCACCACAU